GGGCUCACGUUCCACUCCAGCGGGGCUGAGACUUAGGAAAGGCACAGCUCAGAGUGAAGACUGGUGUUUGGACAGUGACGUUGCUUCUGCAGAGUGCGUUGACUAAAAUACCAGCAGUCUGUUAUGAAACUGAAGACGGUUUAAAAACCAUAAGCCUCCUUCUUCCUGGCCUCGUCUCAACGUUAAUCUCUGCAUUUAACCAAUUUCAGUGUUAACCAUCCAUCUCCUGCAACCACACUGUCCCAGUCUCUGUGGCACACUGGGGUUUCUGCAUGGUCCCUUGGGGUCCUCAUGGACGCUCCCGGUUCCUGGGUCUCUAAUCUCUGAAUCAACAGCAGCCUGAGAGGCACUGGCCCUCAGCUGAGCACUGAGUGGGUGCCUGUAACAAACUCAGCAGUCAGGGGUUGCUCGGAUGAGCAGGGUUUUUUUAAUUGUUAUUGAAAUAUAGUUGACUUACUAGGCUGUGUUAGUUUCAGAUGGACAGCAAUCAGAUGAGUUUCUGAUGUCUUUGAUACGCUCCAAAAGAGAAGCCAAAUGGAUGGGCCAGCUCAAAAUCUUACCAAGGUCAUUGAGACAACAAAGUCAAUAGAGGGGAAAAAACUGCGAAACCAAGAACCAAAUACAUUCAUUACUUGCAAAGCACUUUCCCAUCCUGAAUACACAUCAGAUGGACACAGUGUGUGCGCUCAAGGUUGGUUCACCGGCAACAAGGUCGAUUCACCAAAUACACCAACUAGGAAACCAUCAAACAAAAACGCGUUUCAUUUUGUGUUUACAAAGUGAACAGAAGUGUGUGUUAGAUGGGUUGCUGUUCAGUUUUUCUCCCCAGGUGGAAGCAUCCCCCUGUGAGGGAUACUGGGGCGGGGCCUGGGCGAAGGUUCCAGCACCCUCUCGCAUGUGGUAGGACCAGCACUACUUUGACCUCUCCUAUCAAAGUGAGUGACCAGUGAGCUGGCCCAGGCCCUGACCCUAAUGCCCAAUGCCCGGUAGACCGUCCCCACGACAUGAAAGCCUCUGACCCCUUGGCCAGGCCUGACCUCCUGCCGUUUGUGGAGGACACUUGCAGCCCCGUGGGGAAGACGGAUGCCAGCCAGUGUUGAAGGUCUGUAUCCGCUGUGAGCCUCCUAACGAGAUGUCCUGCAUAGAACAUUUGCUCCAGGGACCACCAGGCCUGCUGGUAGGCCUCUCGGACAGCUCUCCUCCAAACUGACCAGGAGGAUGUCCCUGGGAGGCUAGCUCCUAAGUGACGGAGGCCUUGUGGAGCUUCCAAACAGCUUUCCUUGCAGACUGUUUUGGGAAUUUAAGGAGGAAGGGGGAGGCCGUAGAGCCUCUGAGUUAGCCCCAGGCAGAUAUGGUCUCUCCCUGAAGUUGUUUGUGUGACCGGCGACUGGGGAGCGGGGUAUCUCCUGCACAGAGUGUGACGUUAUUCUUGGCUUCCCCGCAGAACACAGUGCGGCACUCCAGAGGAUCCCCAACUCCAAAAUGCACGGAAGUUGUUAGGCAGCUCAUCAAACCUGCACUCCCCUCCAAGACCCCGGGCCUUGGAAUGAGCUUGCCUGCUUCCUCACAGAAGGCUCAAGGCUGCCAGGCGUCGCCUCCCCCAUCCCUGCACUUACCGUGUUCACAUCCACCCUGUCUUCCCUCUCGGGUCCUCGCCGGCACUCUGAACCUUUCCUCUGCUCCCGGCUCCUGGAGCUGCCUCAGUUACUCCCGUUCUGUCCUCUGGCUUCUGCUUGGAACGUCAGUAGGGUCUAGCACCACAUUGAAACAAACAAAACUAAAGCAAGAACAAAGAAACCAAAACCACAGAAAGCCUUUCCUUUGGCCCUAACGCCCUGCUAAAUGCUGGCACAUCUUGCUUCCUUAAUUUCAAAUGAUCCAAGCGCUGCACAGCCUUACAUCUGCCUCAUGUUCCACUGGUCUGUCUUGGCAGCUACCCCUCGGGGCCCAAUCGAAGCCCCUUCUCAGCCCCUAGUCUUCCCUGACCUUGGGCCCUGCCUUCCUCACCAAUCCUGGGUCUGUACUGGGUGUUCCUUUCCCCACACCUUCCUGGCUUUUCUCUGUGCUUACUUUGAAGGCGCCUCUUCUUCCUUCUGGUGCGCUAAAGGAAUAAGUUGCCUAAGACAUGUCUUCUCAAAGUCCAUGAAAGCACCUGGACCCCGUCAGAUCUUUCAUCUUUCGAAUACCCAAAGGACAAAGAAUUCCUAAGCUAUUUAAACUGCUUCAGACCAGGAAAGAAAUGGUCCUUAGGCUCACUCUGAUACCCUAUAUUAACAAAGAUAAAGGAGGAAAAACACAGCUCAGUUAAAUCACCAUUUUAAUAUGCCUAUGGCUGUAAUGGAAGUCACUAGCCACGUAUAUCUAUUUAAAUUAAUUGAAUGCAACUUAAAAAUCAGUUCUUCUGUCUCAUUAGUCGUAUGUCAAGUUUUCAAUAGCCAUACUCAUGGGUAGUGGCUGCCUACACUGGACCGACAAAUAUAGAACGUUUCCAUCAUCGCUGAAAUUGUACUGGACAUCACAGGCUAAGGAGACAAAACUUAUGCUUAUCUCAGUACUGUGGAAGAAUGUUUGGUAGCACACUAUUUUUGAUGAUUUUUUUAAGUAAUAAAAUUGAAAUUAAAGGAUACUUUUUUAACAUCCAGAAAAGUUCGAUCAUUGGAGUGAUCGAAGGUGGAGACGUGACGGAGGAGAGGCUGAGGUCGGCUCGAGAAACAGCCAAGCGGCCUGUUGGCGGCUUCCUUCUGGAUGGCUUUCAGGGGAACCCAGCGACCCUGGAGACUAGACUUCACUUGCUGUCCUUAGUUACUGCAGAGCUGCCGGAGGACAAACCAAGGCUCAUCUGUGGUGUUAGUUGGCCAGAUGAGGUGCUCGAGUGUAUUGAAAUAAUCCUCUUUGAGUGGAUUAUUUGAGAGUUUUUUCCCUUAUCAAGUGACAGAGCGGGGAUGCGCCCUGACUUUCAGCUUUGAUUACCAGCCGAAUCCUGAAGAGACAUUAUUACAACAAGAUGGAACACAGGAAGAAAUAAAAUAUGUGGAUCAAACAAAGAAAAGUAAAACAACCAGUUGCAACCAAGGAAUGACAUCAUUUGAAAUUAAUCUGAAGGAAAAAAAGUACCAGGAGGACUUCAGUCCUCUCGUGAGAGGGUGUUCCUGUUAUUGCUGUAAGAACCACACUCGUGCGUAUGUCCACCAUCUGCUGGUGACCAACGAGCUGUUGGCUGGUGUCCUGCUCAUGAUGCACAACUUUGAACACUACUUUGGGUUUUUCCACUCCAUCCGGGAAGCACUGAAAAGUGACAGACUGGCUCAGUUGAAAGAGCUCAUCCGCCAGCAAGCCUCCUGAGACGUGGCACCCAGUCUGACUCUUCACGUCGAGCCUGCACCACAGUUGUGAUGUGGGAAGAAGAGAGCCAGAAGUGAUCGUAACUUUAAACUUUAAUCGCUUAUAUUUGAGAAUGAAGUCUGCUUAAAGCAGGAACAUCUGUACUGAGCUCUGCCCACAUGAGACUAAAGAGACUUCUUACAACUGAAAUGACCUAGAUUGAUCAGAAGAACCUGAAACAUGACCUUUCAUAUUUCUACACUCUUUUAGUCAAUUGAGAUUUGUUUAGUCAAAGAUAAGCUUUAGAUAUAAGAGGACAGCCUUGAAGUGGGGAUGAUGAAAAUCUGAGGGUUCACUAAAUUGGAUUGGAACUUGAAGGGAGAUGAUUGGUCGUAAGUCGUAUGACCUCUGUGGAUAUGUGCCUGCUGACCAAGAGGAAUCUAGCUGAUUCAAGAGUUUUCUUCAUUUUAAUCCUAAUAUUCUCAGGGGCCUCUUUUGGGUUCUUCUGCCUCCCACGCUGUCCUGGCAGUGCAGUCAACCAGAAAUGACUCUUGUGACUUCACCAGGCUCACAUCUCCAUGGAAUGUGGAGCUCUCACGUUGCUCCAAUGACCAGUUGACACAGGGCACACUCUUCGUUUGACCACAUGGUCUUUCUGUGGCUUGCCUCCCUAAAGUCACCACAGUUGCCUAUGUGGAGCUGAAAGUGCAUUGCAGCUUUCAUCUGGUCAUACAGGUCCACUGUGGUCUGCCUUUCAGGCUCAUUCAUAGUCGAGCCACUUAAUAACUGAAGUUCCAUCACUUGGGGAGAUUCAGUCACCGUGUGUUCACUUGGAUGGAGCCCUGGCCUGGCUGUUAGGGGAUUGGGUUUAAGUUACUCAGCUGUAACACUUGGGCAUAUAUCACUUAACCUCCCCAUUCCUGUUUCCUUCUGAAUAAUGGGGACAGGCAUUGUGAAGAGUACUAGAUGAAUGUCUAAGAUUCCAUCCAGCUCUUAAUAUUUGGGGAACAAGAAGUUUUAGAUUAGAACCAUAGCUUUACAUGUAUCCUUGUUUAUUGAUCACUGUUGGCUUGAUUUAAAAUACAGUGGUAUCAGGAGUUAGGUAACAGUAGAGAGCCUAAAAAGAGGUUUGGCCCAUGGAUUUUAUUUAUUUAUUUAUUUUUUCCCAUUUAUUUUUAUUAGUUGGAGGCUAAUUACUUUACAACAUUGCAG